rnacentral:rRNA from 1 species
CGGGACGGGUGAGUAAUGUCGUGGGAACUGCCCGAUGGAGGGGGAUAACUACUGGAAACGGUAGCUAAUACCGCAUAACGUCGCAAGACCAAAGAGGGGGACCUUAGGGCCUCUUGCCAUCGGAUGUGCCCAGAUGGGAUUAGCUAGUAGGUGGGGUAACGGCUCACCUAGGCGACGAUCCCUAGCUGGUCUGAGAGGAUGACCAGCCACACUGGAACUGAGACACGGUCCAG